rnacentral:rRNA from 1 species
UACGUAGGGGGCAAGCGUUGUUCGGAAUUACUGGGCGUAAAGGGCUCGUAGGUGGCCAACUAAGUCAGACGUGAAAUCCCUCGGCUUAACUGGGGAACUGCGUCUGAUACUGGAUGGCUUGGAUUUGGGAGAGGGAUGCGGAAUUCCAGGUGUAGCGGUGAAAUGCGUAGAUAUCUGGAGGAACACCGGUGGCGAAGGCGGCAUCCUGGACCAACACUGACACUGAGGAGCGAAAGCCAGGGGAGCAAACGGG